ACGUAUGUAUGUAUGUAUGCGCACGUAUAUACGUUUUAGCUCUCACAGUGCUUUUGAGUGCAGCUACGAAUUGAGGCAGCUUGUUAGUCGCACGUGUUGCGUUCGAACGAAUAAAAUUGAUUCCAUGAGAGGCCGGUCCGAAGUUUCUCGACCUCGUUUGCGAGUUAUUUAGGUUCACUCGUAAGCUGUAGUUAGGCGUGUUUCUUUAAGAAAAAGAACAAAGAAAGAAAGAAAGAAAAAAUCAAAGUAACUCAUCCUAAAAACAUAUUCUACAAAGAUAAGUAAUAUGAUUAUUACGAUUCGACGAUUCUUAAUCUAAGAUUAAUGUCUGACGUAUUAUAACAAUACGAGAAGUGUUUUUACCGUGUUAGAAAAGUUAACGUUGUCGGUGAAAGGAAUGAAAAGGAAAGGGGAAAUUCUCCGCAUCUACGAAUCGCCGAAAACGUGUACAUGAAUAAUUCAAGGCGUGGCAAAAUCUACCGAGACAUUUUCCGAUCUAAUUUCGGUAAAGGGGAUAUGACGAAUGGAAGAGAUUUCUGUUAACGGCGCCAACAUUUCGCUGUAGCUUUGCCCGUUAGCCUCGAAUGAAGACAUAUUUCCCGUAACACGACUCGGCUACUAAUGUUCCUUGAGUUUGUUAAAUAUAACCAACCACGUUACUCCUACUUGGCAUCGCCGUCGAGAGAAUUAUGCCGUGAUUUGAAACUUUAGAAAAGUAGCGUACAAAUACAUAUAUGGAUACUACAUAUACAUUUCGUCCGAAGAGAAAAGUAUAACAACUCGUGUCGUAGGGGACAAAAUCGGAAAAGAUAGAAAACAUACGAGCCGUUUCGUGUAAAAGUUUUUCCGGGAGAUAAGGGAGAGAAGAAGCGUAACGGGACGAUCAUUCAACGAAAUAACGAUAUCCUGCCUGGAGGACAAGUUUCGACAAAAUCGAAGGAAAUACGGAAGUCACCUCCAUUACCGAAAAGCGGGCUGCGAGGAAUUCCGGAGAAUCCAAGUUGAAACGGUCGAGGGAUGGUGGGAGUUGAACGCGGAGGGUGAAGAGGCAAGAGGGAAGCAAGAGGGUGGCAAGAGGGAGACUGAGGAGGAGGAGGAAGAGCGAACCGCAUCCGGCGGACUCCCCAAAGAGAUAUAAGAUGGCGAUUUAUGUUCGCAGUUUGCGAACGUGGCUCGGGAGAAACAUUAUUUACCGGAGCCAAGCGAGAGAUGGGCAGUCAGAAAUUUUCAGCGGUUGAAAGAACGAACGAAAAAAUUCCUGAACCGGCGAUGCUGGCGGUAGCGGCCGCUCGGCUGGGGUUGUUGGUUGGCUGUCUCGUCGAUGUAUUGUAUUCUCUACUUUUUCACACUUAUACAAAAAAUAUAAUAAUAAUGAAGGAAAUGUGAUAGGAUGAGAAAAAAGAAACAUAUAUAUAAGAGAUGAAAAGUGAAAUAAUCAUGACAAUGAUCUUCUUUUUCUCCUCCUUGGUUGAGGGGUCAAAAAAGUACACUUUGUUUUAUUACAUCUACGAGAGCUAAUUAAUAAAAACGUGGAAAAAAUGAAUUGGGACAAUAGUUUUUGA